UCGGAGGUUUCUUUAAUAUCUGAUGAGUAUCAGCAAAAUAUAUGACACCACAAUGAUGUCUAGAACAGGAAGUGAUUAGGCCUCAAUGCUAUAUCUAUAUGUUUGCUGGAUUGUAGCAGCUUCAAACCGUGUUUUAAGAACUCCAAUUUUCCCAAAUCUGAAUGCACAAAAACUUCUUGGUAUUUCACAACAAUAUAAAUUACACCGAUUUUUAACUGACUAUCAGGUGUAUCUUCUUUCGGUCUGUUAAUUUGAUCUCCGUGUGAACACAUAUGUGUCAGUUUCAUCAUGCUAGCAAGGAGAAUCAGGUGUUCCUCCGUCGCCGCCGUUGCCACCAACAACAAAAAUGACGACCAGCUCAUGAGACGGCUAAUAGAGAAUUGGAGCCUUCUUGAGAAGGCAACACACUUGAGAUCAAGAGAGAGGGGGGAGAGAUCGAGGGAGGGAGAGGGAGGAAGGAAGGGGGAGAUUUUGCAGGUACACAGGACAACCAUGUUAUAAAAUGUAAAUGAGAUUUGGUGGUAAGUCAUCAUUGUGUUUUCCCAAUCUGUCAGACAUCAUUGCGUUUGUUCCCAACCUGUCAGACAUUAUAAAUUUCAUGUUGAAUAUGUCAUAGAAAUGUUUCUCAAUAAAUAUGUUUUUUUUGCUCUUGAUAUUUUAAUAUGAUUGUAAAUUCAUCCAUUUAGAUAUCACUCUGAGAAAUAUUUAUAGUUGGGACAAGGAAGAAAAGGAAAUGGCUUUAACAGUAAGAAAGAAGUCGCCGAUGCAUUUAGUUUUGAAUGGUAUAUGACAUUUAGUACUCCCUUUUAUCCAUGUUACUUCGUCACAGUUGCACACAAAUCUGUUGUUACAUCCUACAAAAAUGCAAAGGGGAAGUAUGUUGUUAGGUGCACUCUCAUGAUAAAGAUUUCAUUAAAAACACGAAGGGUGAUUCGGUCAGAUAGGGAUCAAAAAUUGGUUACUGCUAUUUCAUUCUAUCCAUUUGGAUGGUAAUUCAGAAUUUAUCUUAUGAAAAUGAAUGUUUGUGAUAUGUUAGUAAUCUAACACUUGUAAAACAAUACAUGCAGGUGCAUGCAAUAGCUCUGAUUUAUUAGAGUAGUUAUCCCAAGUUCCAAGGGACAAGAACAAGAUAAUGGAGCUCAAGGGGUAUUCAAUCAAGAGGCAAGCUGGGAAAAGAAUAUUCAAACCCCUCUGCCCUUGGAAGUAGCUUCUACGUAAAUUGCAUUUAUUGUUAUAAGAUUGUAAUUAUCAAAUGUAUGAAUCUGUGUGAAAUUGUGCAAAGGCCCGCUUGUUCUUUCACUUUUAAUAGAGUUGCACUGUACAUGGAAUUCAAACUCUUUAAACUCGACAACGAUAUUCUUGAUGAGAGCAUAACAAAACCCUGAAAAGGCACACUUAUUCUUGAAUUACAUAGUGAGAAGUGAUUGGUGUCCUUUUUCUUUGUUAAAUCGUCCAUCUCAACAUUCAACAUUGUUAUUUGUUAUUUCUACUAACAUUAACAUGGUG
rnacentral:lncRNA from 1 species